rnacentral:rRNA from 1 species
UUAUGAUUACCCUGAACGGUGGAUCACUCGGCCCGU